AUACCGGCUUUUCAUGGGGCCGAGCGCCGCUGGGUAGGCGGAAGUAGCCGCAGGCAUGGCGGCUGCUUUGCCGCUUGCUCUGUUCGUCCUGCUGCUCCUGGGGCCCGGCGGCUGGUGCCUUGCAGAACCCCCAAGCGACAGCCUGCGGGAGGAACUUGUCAUCACCCCGCUGCCUUCCGGGGACGUAGCCGCCACAUUCCAGUUCCGCACGCGCUGGGAUUCGGAGCUUCAGCGGGAAGGAGUGUCUCAUUACAGGCUCUUUCCCAAAGCCCUGGGGCAGCUGAUCUCCAAGUAUUCUCUACGGGAGCUGCACCUGUCAUUCACACAAGGCUUUUGGAGGACCCGAUACUGGGGGCCACCCUUCCUGCAGGCCCCAUCGGGUGCAGAGCUCUGGGUCUGGUUCCAAGACACUGUCACUGAUGUGGAUAAAUCUUGGAAGGAGCUCAGUAAUGUCCUCUCAGGGAUCUUCUGCGCCUCUCUCAACUUCAUCGACUCCACCAACACGGUCACUCCCACUGCCUCCUUCAAACCCCUGGGUCUGGCCAAUGACACUGAUCACUACUUUCUGCGCUAUGCUGUGCUGCCACGGGAGGUGGUCUGCACUGAAAACCUCACCCCCUGGAAGAAGCUCUUGCCCUGUAGUUCUAAGGCAGGCCUCUCUGUGCUGCUGAAGGCGGAUCGCUUGUUCCACACCAGCUACCACUCCCAGGCAGUGCAUAUUCGCCCUGUUUGCAGAAAUGCACGCUGUACUAGCAUCUCCUGGGAGCUGAGGCAGACCCUGUCAGUUGUAUUUGAUGCCUUCAUCACGGGGCAGGGGAAGAAAGACUGGUCCCUCUUCCGGAUGUUCUCCCGAACCCUCACGGAGCCCUGCCCCCUGGCUUCAGAGAGUCGAGUCUAUGUGGACAUCACCAACUACAACCAGGACAAUGAGACAUUAGAGGUGCACCCACCCCCGACCACUACCUAUCAGGAUGUCAUCCUAGGCACUCGGAAGACCUACGCCAUCUAUGACUUGCUUGACACCGCCAUGAUCAACAACUCUCGAAACCUCAACAUCCAGCUCAAGUGGAAGAGACCCCCAGAGAAUGAGGCCCCCCCAGUGCCCUUCCUGCAUGCCCAGCGGUACGUGAGCGGCUAUGGGCUGCAGAAGGGGGAGCUGAGCACACUGCUAUACAACACCCACCCAUACCGGGCCUUCCCGGUGCUGCUGCUGGACACUGUACCCUGGUAUCUGCGGCUGUAUGUGCACACCCUCACCAUCACCUCCAAGGGCAAGGAGAACAAACCAAGUUACAUCCACUACCAGCCUGCCCAGGACCGGCUGCAACCCCACCUCCUGGAGAUGCUGAUUCAGCUGCCGGCCAACUCAGUCACCAAGGUUUCCAUCCAGUUUGAGCGGGCGCUGCUGAAGUGGACCGAGUACACGCCAGAUCCUAACCAUGGCUUCUAUGUCAGCCCAUCUGUCCUCAGCGCCCUUGUGCCCAGCAUGGUAGCAGCCAAGCCAGUGGACUGGGAAGAGAGUCCCCUCUUCAACAGCCUAUGGUGUGCUUCCUGGAGGCACAGGUUCUGUCUUUCAUUAAGACCUGACCCAUCUCAGGACAUGUCCUUCUUCAACACCAGCUCCAGGAUCUGCAAGACCUUUGGAUAUGGCCACUGCAGAAGGAAGGAGAACCACUUCCUGGAGAAGCAGGAGUGAGCCAGGAUCUGCCACAGGAGACAGCCAGGACCCCAGGGCGUGGGGUAAGGCGAGGAGCAGGUCCGGAGGGAAGAUCUGAGGCAAAGAGGUAGAGUUCACAGGUCCUACACCCCUCGCACCUACACAGUGUUCCUUUUCUGAUGCUGAGGCUCUCGCUGCCUUCCGAGGAGAAAGUGGCAAUGUGUCCUGUGAAACCACAGACUUAACACAUCUUCCAAAAGCCAGCUUGGCAGGAGGUCACUGCUAGAAGCACCUCUGAAAUAAUCUGAGCCGUCUUACCUUUUCCCCUUUUUCAGAUGGGAACACUGAGGCAGCCACCCUGCAGAGUGAGUCUGCAGUGCUCCUGAGCCACCACCCCCCAGGCUUGGCAAACUCACUGCCUUCUUGUCUGUCACCUUGACUGCAGGGAGGACCAUAGGUGCUCAUUUCUGGGAGGGUCUAGGAUCUGCCAGCUGCACAGUGUCCCAAGUCAAGGGCUUCAGCAAUGACAAUGAACAAAUUCUUUUCUCUUUGCAGAGAGCCUGUCACCUGUGCUGCCUUGAGAUGCUGACGUCCGAGGAUGCGCCAGACAGGGCCUGUGGCUGCUUUCUGAAAUAGUGCAGCACCUUCUCUGCUUCCUCCUCAACCCUCUCCUUCACAGCAGAACCCAGGCUCCUUCCUCUCCCCACGGGCUUGUUUCAGCACUGUAUUUGAUAAACUGAGCACCACAAGAAUACGAACCACAUUCCUUUGUUUUUUCAUCAUGUUAUACCCAGCACUUAGCACAGUGCCUGGCACAAAGGAGACAGUCUGUAAAUAUUUGCAUAAUGAAUGAAUACACGAGGGCACGAGCACAUCUCCUUUGCCCAGGACAGAUGACAGGCUGAGGGUUUGAAUCCAGGACUCUCUCACCCUAGCUCUCAUUCUCACUGCAUCCUCACCUUCAUCCUCUACCCCCCACCCCCUCGCCGGGUUCUUUGGGGAUGGCAGGGGUGGAGUUUCUGGCAUCCAGUUCUGAGCAUCAGCUCUGCCAAGUAGUGGUGGCGGGGGGGUUUUCAUGAAAGAAUCCCCCUCGCUGGCUGUGAUGUUGGACAUUUUUCCUUGUCUGUGUAGUUUCAGGCUUUGUCUCUCUGGCCUUAUACAAUAUUUAAAAACAUUCAUUUUCCAGUUAAACAAACUGGAUUGGAUCCUGUUGUUUGCAACUAAGAACCUUAAUAUUGGGUGAUCUUCCCAAUAUUUUGCAGAACAGCAGCAUCACCACUUUUCUUGGCUUCAGACUGGGCCCUACCAGUUGUAAGAAGAAAACCCAUUACAACACCUACCUCUUAAUGGCCACUGUAAGCUACACAAAAACCUGGGUGAUGUUUCAACAUUAAAGCCUUUUUUUUUUUUUUUUUUUUUCACUUUUGGGCCAGGUCAGAUUCAGGGGUAGGUUGUUCUCCUGGACUCUCUGAAGGAGAAGGGAAGGAGCAUGAGGGUCAAUUGUCUGCUUAUCCAAGAAAUCCCCUUCCCUGAAGUUGUGUGUGUGUGUAUGUGUCUGUGUAUCUGUGUGUGUGUGUUGUGGGGUGGUGGUGGUGGUUUGUUAUUUCAGUUACAGCAAUAACAACUACCCAUUUAGUGGACACCGGCCACGUACCAGGCUCCAUGCUUAGCCUUUUACACGCAUUAUUUCAUUUAAUUCCAAAGAAUCCUGUGAAGGAGGGUGCAUUAUUGUCCCCAGUUUACAGAGGGGGAUAUGGAGGCAUGGUGAUGUCACGUAACUGCCAUAUUGUUUUCCUGGGGCAACUAGAACAAAGGACUACAGACUGACUGGUUUAAACAACUGCAAUUUACCCUCUUAAAUUCUGGAGGCCAGAAGUGUGAGAUCAGGGUGUCCACAGGGCUGCGUUCCCUCUGAAGAAGCUGGGGAAAGAUCUGUUCCAGGCCCCUCUCCUGGCUUCUGGAAACUCCUUGACUUGUGGUCGCAUAAAUCCAAUCUUCACAUAGUGUUCUCCCAUCUGUCCCCUUUUUAAGGACACCAGUCGUAUUGGAUUAGGGCCCACACUGAUGACCUCAUCUUAACUUGAUUACCUCUGUAAAGAGCCCAUCUCCAAAUAAGGUCACAUUUGGAGGGACCUGGGGGUUACGACUCCAAGUAGCUUUUUUGGGAGGACAGAGUUCAACCCAUAACAGCUGAUGAAUGGCAGAACCCAGGCAUAUGUGACAGACCCAAAGGCUUUGUCCUUUGGGAGGAAGAUUGUGUAAAUUAAGAGCCCAGACUUUCCAGCCAGGCUAUAAGAGUCCUAAUUCUGGGUUUGUCUUAAUUUGGGAAUUUGGGGAUCUAAGAAGCAGCUUAUUAGGUAAGGUGGGCAUGGGGGUGAGAAAGGGUGAGGCAUCAAGCCCCCCAUCAUUGUUUGUGACUGAGCUUAAUUCCAUUGGGAAUGCUGGGAGCAGGGCCAGACAAUUCCUCACAGCAGCUAUCACCCCCUUUCCCUAGGAGAGCAAGUGUUUAUGCACCAAUGGAGCUAUUCAGGCACCAGUCUCCAUAUGGACUGAGGGUUUCCGGCUGAUCUGGGCCUGGGCCCUCCUUGUGUGGCUUCCAAGGAAGCCCUGAGGCAAAGAGAUGCAGACACUAGCAUUUGGAAAUCAGCCGGCAGCACCGAAGGAGUCAUGUCCGGGGUAAGGUGCACCCCACUUAGGAGUUGGCUGGACCAGAACAGGGGAGGCAGAGGAAUAGUUUCAGCAGCACAAACACUGCGGGAGCCCAGGUGGAGGCCCUUAAUCUCACCUGAAGAGGUCAAGGCUGGCGUCGCAGAGGAGGCAGCGCUCAUCCUGGAUUUUGAAAGAUGAAAUGAAUUUUAUCAGAAUUUGAAAACUAUUCAAUCCCACUAGGUAGAUCUGUUUUCCACCGCCAACAGACUGCUGCUAAAGCUAUCCAAUAUCAAGCACCAUGCCUCUAGGCCCGGGGACCAUUGCAGAAGAGCUUUGAUUGGACAAGAGACUGACUUCAAUAACUUUCUCCUGAUAAGAAAACCACUGACCACGGGAUGGUUCUGGCUGGUUUACAGAGAUUACGCACUUGCAUGCCUCUGUGUCCUGAAAAGACCUUUCAAUAUGUAGGGCCUGACUGUAAUACAUUUAAAUGUUGUCUCCAUCUCAGAGUGAACCUGGGUCUUAUAUUACAUGCAUGUUUGUUCAAUACGCAUGUGUCAAGAGCACCUUCAUGAAUGUUCAUGGUCUUCCUGUAACCUGUUGAAUAUGUAUGUUUAGCCAAGCUGUUCAGCAUAAAGCUCCUACCCCACCCCCUCCUCUUUCAAAGUGUCUAUUUCCCAUCUUUGCCAGAGACAUGCUUCCAGCCUGCGAGAUGACCACCUGCCAGGCUGUAACCCUUUACAAAAAAUAAAGUUUCCUCUCCUUUUCUAAAUUUCUAAA